rnacentral:rRNA from 1 species
UACGGAGGAUGCAAGCGUUAUCCGGAAUCAUUGGGCGUAAAGCGUUCGUAGGUGGCUAUUCAAGUCUGCUGUCAAAGACUGGGGCUUAACCCCAGAAAGGCGGUGGAAGCUGAAAGGCUAGAGUCCGGUAGGGGCAGAGGGAAUUCCCGGUGGAGCGGUGAAAUGCGUAGAGAUCGGGAAGAACGCCAAGGGCGAAGGCA